rnacentral:siRNA from 1 species
UGACCAGUCCGCCAGCCGAUGACU